rnacentral:misc_RNA from 1 species
GUAAAAGUGAUGUUUGGCAUGCUUAAAACACUCUCACAAUCAAUUACUGACUCUCCCAUUGGACUUGGUAGGCUCUCGCAUAACUUAUUCACAUAGUUGAAAGCUGCCUCCUUUGUCUCCUUUUGUUUUAGUUGAUUCUGGACCCAAAUGACAAGCAUCUCACAGGCCGUGCAUAGAAGAUCAUCCCCAACAGACGAUUCCUCCUUCUCAACCACUGAUUCAAUCCUGGUGCUCACACACUGAGCCCCAUUGCAAAUGCAUAAACCAAGCUGUGAACAUACUUGACCAGGUCGUAUCCCUGAUAUCAGUAGAUCCCAUAUUAACU